rnacentral:rRNA from 1 species
GAUGAACGCUGGCGGCGUGCCUAAUACAUGCAAGUCGAGCGAACAGACGAGGAGCUUGCUCCUCUGACGUUAGCGGCGGACGGGUGAGUAACACGUGGAUAACCUCCCUAUAAGACUGGGAUAACUUCGGGAAACCGGAGCUAAUACCGGAUAAUAUAUUGAACCGCAUGGUUCAAUAGUGAAAGACGGUUUUGCCGUCACUUAUAGAUGGAUCCGCGCCGCAUUAGCUAGUUGGUAAGGUAACGGCCUACCAAGGCAACGAUGCGUGGACGAACGCAGAGGGUGAUCGGCCACACUGGAACUGAGACACGGUCCAGACUCCUACGGGAGGCAGCAGUAGGGAAUCGUCCGCAAUGGGCGAAAGCUUGACGGAGCAACGCCGCGUGAGUGAUGAAGGUCUUCGGAUCGUAAAACUCUGUUAUUAGGGAAGAACAAAUGUGUAAGUAACUAUGCAGGUCUUGACGGUAACGAAUCAGAAAGCAACGGCUAACUACGUG